CGGUUAGCCUUGCGAACUGCAGGACUUGGGUGGAUGAGAGGAAAGUGGAAUUCCUAGUGUAGCGGUGAAAUGCGUAAAUCUUAGGAGGAACAUCAGUGGGGAAGGCGACUUUCUGGACUGAAACUGACACUGAUGUACUAAAGCGUGGGUAGUGAACAGGAUUAGAUACCCUGGUAGUCCACGCCGUAAACGAUGAGCACUAGGUGUCGGGGUCGCAAGGCUUCGGUGCCGCAUUUAACGCAUUAAGUGCUCCGCCUGGGGAGUACGCACGACAAGUGUGAAACUCAAAGGAAUUGACGGGGACCCGCACAAGCAGCGGAGCAUGUGGUUUAAUUCCAAGCAACGCCAAGAACCUUACCAGGUCUUGACAUCCAGUAAAGCCUGUAUAGAUACAGAGUCCCUUCCGGGGUACUGAUACAGGUGGUGCAUGGUUGUCGUCAGCUCGUGUCGUGAGAUGUUGGGGUUAAGUCCCGCAUCGAGCGCAACCCUUGCCUAUAGUUACUAAUCGCCUGAAGGCAUAGGACUUCUAUUGUGACUGCCGGAGCACAACUCGUAUGGAAAGGUGGGGUCGACGUCAUAUCAUCAUGCCCCGUUAUGACCUGGGUCUUCCACAUCGUGCUACGAUCGCCCAGAAACUAAGUAGGCUCCGAAGUCCAGUUAGGAAGUAGCAGAUCUCGACAUACUCGGUCUCAGUUCUGGAUUGGUGAGUCUAGCAACCUCU
rnacentral:rRNA from 1 species